AGUGAACGCUGGCGGUAGGCCUAACACAUGCAAGUCGAACGGCAGCACAGUAAGAGCUUGCUCUUACGGGUGGCGAGUGGCGGACGGGUGAGGAAUACAUCGGAAUCUACUUUUUCGUGGGGGAUAACGUAGGGAAACUUACGCUAAUACCGCAUACGACCUACGGGUGAAAGCAGGGGAUCUUCGGACCUUGCGCGAUUGAAUGAGCCGAUGUCGGAUUAGCUAGUUGGCGGGGUAAAGGCCCACCAAGGCGACGAUCCGUAGCUGGUCUGAGAGGAUGAUCAGCCACACUGGAACUGAGACACGGUCCAGACUCCUACGGGAGGCAGCAGUGGGGAAUAUUAGACAAUGGGCGCAAGCCUGAUCCAGCCAUACCGCGUGAGUGAAGAAGGCCUUCGGGUUGUAAAGCUCUUUUGUUGGGAAAGAAAAGCAGCAGGUUAAUACCCCGCUGUUCUGACGGUACCAAAAGAAUAAGCACCGGCUAACUUCGUG
rnacentral:rRNA from 1 species